rnacentral:rRNA from 1 species
ACCAGCUCUUCAAGUGGUCGGGAUAAUUAUUGGGCUUAAAGUGUCCGUAGCCGGUUUAGUAAGUUCCUGGUAAAAUCGGGUAGCUUAACUAUCCGUAUGCUAGGAAUACUGCUAUACUAGAGGGCGGGAGAGGUCUGAGGUACUACAGGGGUAGGGGUGAAAUCUUAUAAUCCUUGUAGGACCACCAGUGGCGAAGGCGUCAGACUGGAACGCGCCUGACGGUGAGGGACGAAAGCCAGGGGAGCGAACCGGAUUAGAUACCCGGGUAGUCCUGGCUGUAAACGAUGCAUACUAGGUGAAGGCAUGGCCAUGAGCCGUGUCAGUGCCGUAAGGAAACCGUUAAGUGUGCCGCCUGGGAAGUACGGUCGCAAGGCUAAAACUUAAAGAAUUGGCGGGGGAGCACCACAAGGGGUGAAGCCUGCGGUUC